rnacentral:rRNA from 1 species
CAGCAGCCACGGUAAUACGUAGGUGGCAAGCGCCGUCCGGAAUUAUUGGGCGUAAAGGGCUCGCAGGCGGUUUCUUAAGUCUGAUGUGAAAGCCCCCGGCUCAACCGGGGAGGGUCAUUGGAAACUGGGAAACUUGAGUGCAGAAGAGGAGAGUGGAAUUCCACGUGUAGCGGUGAAAUGCGUAGAGAUGUGGAGGAACACCAGUGGCGAAGGCGACUCUCUGGUCUGUAACUGACGCUGAGGAGCGAAAGCGUGGGGAGCGAACAGGAUUAGAUACCCGAGUAGUCCCUGUCUCUUAUAC